UACGUAGGGUGCGAGCGUUGUCCGGAAUUACUGGGCGUAAAGAGCUCGUAGGUGGUUUGUCGCGUUGUCCGUGAAAACUCACAACUCAAUUGUGGGCGUGCGGGCGAUACGGGCAGACUGGAGUACUGCAGGGGAGACUGGAAUUCCUGGUGUAGCGGUGGAAUGCGCAGAUAUCAGGAGGAACACCGGUGGCGAAGGCGGGUCUCUGGGCAGUAACUGACGCUGAGGAGCGAAAGCGUGAGGAGCAAACAGG
rnacentral:rRNA from 1 species